AUUGAACGCUGGCGGCAGGCCUAACACAUGCAAGUCGAGCGGAGCGGCGGACGGGUGAGUAAUGCCUAGGAAUCUGCCUGGUAGUGGGGGAUAACGUCCGGCAACGGGCGCUAAUUUCUAAUACUAUCCGACGAGCCUAGGUCGGAUUAGCUAGUUGGUGGGGUAAAGGCCUACCAAGGCGACGAUCCGUACCUGGUCUGAGAGGAUGAUCAGUAACAGUGGGAUUGAGACACGGCCCAGACGCCUACGGGAGGCAGCAGUGGGGAAUUUUGGAAAAUGGGGGAAAGCCUGAUGCAGCCAUCCCGCGUGGAUGAUGAAGGCCUUCGGGUUGGAAAGUACUUUUGGCAGAGAGGCGGUAUCUUAAGAAUAAGCACCGGCUAACUACGUGCCAGCAGCCGCGGUAAUUC
rnacentral:rRNA from 1 species